rnacentral:rRNA from 1 species
UGGGGAAUAUUGGACAAUGGGCGAAAGCCUGAUCCAGCCAUGCAGCGUGUGUGAAGAAGGUCUUCGGAUUGUAAAGCACUUUAAGUUGGGAGGAAGGGCAGUAAGCGAAUACCUUGCUGAUUUGACGUUACCGACAGAAUAAGCACCGGCUAACUCUGUGCCAGCAGCCGCGGUAAUACAGAGGGUGCAAGCGUUAAUCGGAAUUACUGGGCGUAAAGCGCGCGUAGGUGGUUCGUUAAGUUGAAUGUGAAAGCCCCGGGCUCAACCUGGGAACCGCAUCCAAAACUGGCGAGCUAGAGUACGGCAGAGGGUGGUGGAAUUUCCUGUGUAGCGGUGAAAUGCGUAGAUAUAGGAAGGAACACCAGUGGCGAAGGCGACCACCUGGGCUCAUACUGACACUGAGGUGCGAAAGCGUGGGGAGCCAACAGG